AGACCGAAUCAAAGAACAUAAACAAAAUAUUUCCAAGGUAAGCCCUGAGAGCCUACGAGAAGGAUACCGAGAUUUCUUGGCAAAACCCACGAAUUCUAAAGAGCAUUUGUGACCAUGGGACCCUUCCCGCAGCGGAGGGGCUGGGGGGCCUGUGGGCCGGCCGGGGGCGGAGUGUCAUCGGCCAUCGGCGGGCUGACACGCUUGGUGCGGCCUGGAGGUGCGCAGUGCGGGGGAGCUUGUGAUGCCUUGCACUGCCCACACAGAAGGUUUGGUAUACCCCGCUCUUCCUUGUCUGCGGACAGCUUGGCUGGACUACGUUUUGGGUUCUAA
rnacentral:lncRNA from 1 species